rnacentral:rRNA from 1 species
UACGAAGGGGGCUAGCGUUACUCGGAUUGACUGGGCGUAAAGGGCGCGUAGGCGGUUUGUUCAGUCAGACGUGAAAUUCCUGGGCUCAACCUGGGGGCUGCGUUUGAUACGUGCAGACUUGAGUUCGGAAGAGGGUCGUGGAAUUCCCAGUGUAGAGGUGAAAUCCGUAGAUAUUCGCAAGAACACCAGUGGCGAAGGCGGCUCACUGGCUCGGUACUGACGCUGAGGUGCGAAAGCGUGGGGAGCAAACAGG